rnacentral:rRNA from 1 species
GAUGAACGCUGGCGGCGUGCCUAAUACAUGCAAGUCGAGCGAACAGACGAGGAGCUUGCUCCUCUGACGUUAGCGGCGGACGGGUGAGUAACACGUGGAUAACCCACCUAUAAGACUGGGAUAACUUCGGGAAACCGGAGCUAAUACCGGAUAAUAUAUUGAACCGCAUGGUUCAAUAGUGAAAGACGGUUUUGCUGUCACUUAUAGAUGGAUCCGCGCCGCAUUAGCUAGUUGGUAAGGUAACGGCUUACCAAGGCAACGAUGCGUAGCCGACCUGAGAGGGUGAUCGGCAACACUGGAACUGAGACACGGUCCAGCCUCCUAAGGGAGGCAGCAGUAGGGAAUCUUCCGCAAUGGGCGAAAGCCUGACGGAGCAACGCCGCGUGAGUGAUGAAGGUCUUCGGAUCGUAAAACUCUGUUAUUAGGGAAGAACAAAUGUGUAAGUAACUAUGCACGUCUUGACGGUACCUAAUCAGAAAGCCACGGCUAACUACGUG